rnacentral:rRNA from 1 species
UACAGAGGUCUCAAGCGUUGUUCGGAUUCAUCGGGCGUAAAGGGUGCGUAGGUGGCGCUGUAAGUCGGGUGUGAAAUUUCGGAGCUUAACUCCGAAACUGCAUUCGAUACUGCGGUGCUUGAGGACUGGAGAGGAGACUGGAAUUCAUGGUGUAGCAGUGAAAUGCGCAGAUAUCAGGAGGAACACCGGUGGCGAAGGCGGGUCUCUGGGCCGAUACUGACGCUGAGGAGCGAAAGCGUGGGGAGCGAACAGG